CCCCUUUAAGUGCAUCCCACCAUAACAGUAUGCAGGUACUCCAAACACCUAGAACAUAAGUACAAAGUCAGUUAAUUGAGCAAACAACCCUAGAGCAGGAGGCAGCUUAGGCCAUGUAAGGUCAGGAAAAGUAGUGGAAAUUGACAUCUACUUCACAGGCAACUCAAGUAUAACAGCUGUCGGAAGGUAAACUCAUAUUUGAAUCAAU